GGCCGACCGAGACCGAGGGAGACUGAGCGGAGCGCACGCCCUGGAAGGAGAGAGCCGGAGAGUUCGGGAGGCAAGACCCCCAGAGACGAGAGUCGGAGGGAUCAAACGACACAGAUGGAGUCUUGCUCUGUCACCCAGACUGGGUACAGUGGCACGAUCUCGGCUCACUACAAACUCCACCUCCUGGGUUCAAGAGAUUCUCCUACCUCAGCCUCCCGAGUAGCUGGGACUACAGGUGCGUGCCAGCAUGCCCAGCUAAUUUUUUGUAUUUGUAGUAGAGAUGGGGUUUCACUGUGUUAGCCAGGAUGGUCUCGACCUCCUGACCUCAUGAUCUGCCCGCCUCUGCCUCCCAAAGUGCUGGGAUUACAGGAGUGAGCCACCGCACCCAGCCGAC
rnacentral:lncRNA from 1 species